UACAGAGGUCCCAAGCGUUGUUCGGAAUUAUUGGGCGUAAAGGGCGCGUAGGCGGUGUGGUAAGUCUGAUGUGAAACCUCCAGGCUCAACUUGGAGCUUGCAUCAGAAACUGCCGUGCUAGAGUGUGGGAGAGGAGAGUGGAAUUCCUGGUGUAGCGGUGAAAUGCGUAGAUAUCAGGAGGAACACCGGUGGCGAAGGCGGGUCUCUGGGCCGAUACUGACACUGAGGAGCGAAAGCGUGGGGAGCGAACAGG
rnacentral:rRNA from 1 species